AUUGCUAUAUGGUUAUUGUCGGUUUUGAUUAUGAGGUGUUGAGCCAGCCCUAGCGAGGAGUUCAAUCUUCAUUUUUUAUUAUCGAUGCAUAAUGGUAUAGCCCUAGAUAAGACUGCAAGCGAUAAGUCAGCGGAAGAUGAGAAGGUCUAAAGUCAUUGUUCUAAUCUAUAAGAGAGUAAGGUAUUUGAGGUAUGUUUAGUGUGGGGUUAAAGGCUCAGUAAGGCAGCUGUAUUAUAAAAUAUGGUUGUUUUUAAGAUAAAGAUAAAUUAAGAUGAAUUUCAUUAAUUCUUCUCUGUAUUUUUAUUUUGAUGAAAAUUUUUUUAAGUCAAAGUAAAUUUUUAGUUUAAACUUUAGAAAAAAUAAAUCUUUGGUAAGUAUUUAGUGUUAUAUAGUUUAGUAUUGAAUUAGGCGUUGUUAAUAGUAGAUCAUAAUUUUAAUUUUGAAGUGAAAAGCUUUUAUAUUGCUAGAUGUGCAUUUUAAAUCUAAUAUAACGGCAAUUGGCCAUUUUAAAAUUGAGAUUAUAUUCUAAAUAUUACUUAAUAUUUACCAAAUUUUUUAUUGUUUUGAUUAAUUGGCUUAAAGGAAUACCGAAGUGAUUAUAAUAAUGGAACACAU
rnacentral:misc_RNA from 1 species